rnacentral:rRNA from 1 species
CCGGCUAAUUACGUGCCAGCAGCCGCGGUAAUACGUAAGGUGCAAGCGUUAUCCGGAAUCAUUGGGCGUAAAGCGUCUGCAAGUUGUUUAUUAAGUCAGACAUUAAAGACGGCAGCUCAACUGUCGGGCCGUGCCUGAAACUGGUAAGCUAGAGUCAUACAGAGGUACGUGGAAUUCUGCAUGUAGGGGUAAAAUCCGUUGAUAUGCAGAGGAACACCAAAAGCGAAAGCAGCGUACUGGGUAUGUACUGACACUCAGAGACGAAAGCAUGGGUAGCGAACGGGAUUAGAUACCCCGGUAGUCCAUGCCGUAAACGAUGAUCACUCGAUGUUAGACUUUUCAAUCGGUCUAGUGUCCAAGCUAACGCGAUAAGUGAUCCGCCUGGGGAGUACGGUCGCAAGAUUAAAACUCAAAGGAAUAGACGGGGACCUACACAAGCAGUGGAGCAUCUGGUUUAAUUCGAUAAUAAGCGAGGAACCUCACCUAGGCUUGACAUCCCGAUGAACGCUCUAGAAAUAGAGAACUGCCUUUUGGAACAUCGGUGACAGGUGCUGCAUGGUUGUCGUCAGCUCGUGCCUUGAGGUGUUCGGUUAAGUCCGUGAACGAGCGCAACCCACGUCGCAUGUUGUAUUUUUCAUGCGAGACCGCCGGUUACAAAUCGGAGGAAGGUGUGGAUGACGUCAAAUCAGCAUGGCCCUUAUGCCUAGGGCUACACAGGUGCUACAAUGGCCAGUACAACGGGCAGCGAAGCAGCAAUGCCAAGCCAAUCCCUUAAAACUGGUCCAAGUUCGGAUUGAGGGCUGCAACUCGCCCUCAUGAAGUUGG